AACAUCGCGUUUGUAGUAGGUGGAUGAAAAAAUCCAUAACCGGGAAGUAGGUGAAAUGCCUGCACUGCCCACGCAACGGUAAGCGAGCCCGCUUAAUACGGGUCAGAAAAAACCACUGUACGAAAUCGUAUGGGAAGGUUCUGUUGAAGAUUAUUUUUCAAUCGCAAGUCCGGAGACCGACCUAUUGCUCUGUGUACUC
rnacentral:ncRNA from 2 species